rnacentral:rRNA from 1 species
UACGUAGGGGGCAAGCGUUGUCCGGAUUUAUUGGGCGUAAAGAGCGUGUAGGCGGCUGGGUAGGUCCGCUGUGAAAACUCGAGGCUUAACCUCGAGCUGUCGGCGGAAACCAUCUGGCUAGAGUCCGGAAGAGGAGAAUGGAAUUCCCGGUGUAGCGGUGAAAUGCGCAGAUAUCGGGAAGAACACCCGUGGCGAAGGCGGCUCUCUGGGACGUGACUGACGCUGAGACGCGAAAGCGUGGGGAGCGAACAGG